rnacentral:rRNA from 1 species
UACGGAGGGGGCAAGCGUUGUUCGGAAUUACUGGGCGUAAAGGGCGCGCAGGCGGCUGCUCAAGUCAGGCGUGAAAGGCCUGGGCUCAACCCGGGAAUUGCGCUUGAGACUGGGCUGGCUUGAGUGCGGGAGAGGUUGGUGGAAUUCUCGGUGUAGAGGUGAAAUUCGUAGAUAUCGAGAGGAACACCGGUGGCGAAGGCGGCCAACUGGACGAAUACUGACGCUGAGACACGAAAGCGUGGGGAGCAAACAGG